AUAUAAUGGCUGAAAUAAGGCAAUAAAUUGUAAAUUUAUUUAUGAAUUAAGAAAAUUCUUAUAUCAA
rnacentral:tRNA from 1 species